rnacentral:rRNA from 1 species
AUUGAACGCUGGCGGCAGGCCUAACACAUGCAAGUCGAGCGGAUGAAGGGAGCUUGCUCCUGGAUUCAGCGGCGGACGGGUGAGUAAUGCCUAGGAAUCUGCCUGGUAGUGGGGGAUAACGUCCGGAAACGGGCGCUAAUACCGCAUACGUCCUGAGGGAGAAAGUGGGGGAUCUUCGGACCUCACGCUAUCAGAUGAGCCUAGGUCGGAUUAGCUAGUUGGUGGGGUAAAGGCCUACCAAGGCGACGAUCCGUAACUGGUCUGAGAGGAUGAUCAGUCACACUGGAACUGAGACACGGUCCAGACUCCUACGGGAGGAAGCAGUGGGGAAUAUUGGACAAUGGGCGAAAGCCUGAUACAGCCAUGCCGCGUGUGUGAAGAAGGUCUUCGGAUUGUAAAGCACUUUAAGUUGGGAGGAAGGGCAGUAAGUUAAUACCUUGCUGUUUUGACGUUACCAACAGAAUAAGCACCGGCUAACUUCGUG